AGUGAACGCUGGCGGUAGGCCUAACUCAUGCAAGUCGAACGGCAGCACAGUAAGAGCUUGCUCUUACGGGUGGCGAGUGGCGGACGGGUGAGGAAUACAUCGGAAUCUACUUUUUCGUGGGGGAUAACGUAGGGAAACUUACGCUAAUACCGCAUACGACCUACGGGUGAAAGCAGGGGAUCUUCGGACCUUGCGCGAUUGAAUGAGCCGAUGUCGGAUUAGCUAGUUGGCGGGGUAAAGGCCCACCAAGGCGACGAUCCGUAGCUGGUCUGAGAGGAUGAUCAGCCACACUGGAACUGAGACACGGUCCAGACUCCUACGGGAGGCAGCAGUGGGGAAUAUUGGACAAUGGGCGCAAGCCUGAUCCAGCCAUACCGCGUGGGUGAAGAAGGCCUUCGGGUUGUAAAGCCCUUUUGUUGGGAAAGAAAAGCAGCAGGUUAAUACCCCGCUGUUCUGACGGUACCCAAAGAAUAAGCACCGGCUAACUUCGU
rnacentral:rRNA from 1 species